AGCAUGUGGUUUAAUUCGAAGCAACGCGAAGAACCUUACCAGGGCUUGACAUGCCGCUGACCGGUGCAGAGAUGCAUCUUUAUCCUUCGGGGUACAGCGGACACAGGUGGUGCAUGGUUGUCGUCAGCUCGUGUCGUGAGAUGUUGGGUUAAGUCCCGCAACGAGCGCAACCCUUGUCUUUAGUUGCCAUCAUUAAGUUGGGCACUCUAAAGAGACUGCCGAUGACAAAUCGGAGGAAGGUGGGGAUGACGUCAAAUCAUCAUGCCCUUUAUGUCCUGGGCUACACACGUGCUACAAUGGUCGGUACAACGAGAAGCAAGUCAGCGAUGGCAAGCAAAUCUCUAAAAGCCGAUCCCAGUUCGGAUUGCAGGCUGCAACUCGCCUGCAUGAAGUCGGAGUUGCUAGUAAUCGCGGAUCAGAAUGCCGCGGUGAAUGCGUUCCCGGGUCUU
rnacentral:rRNA from 2 species